rnacentral:rRNA from 1 species
GACGAAGGGGGCUAGCGUUGUUCGGAAUUACUGGGCGUAAAGCGCGUGUAGGCGGCUUUGCAAGUCCGUUGUGAAAACUCGAGGCUCAACCUCGAGACGCCGGUGGAGACUGCAAAGCUAGAGUCCGGAAGAGGAGAGUGGAAUUCCGUGGUGUAGCGGUGAAAUGCGCAGAUAUCAGGAAGAACACCCGUGGCGAAGGCGGAUCUCUGGGCCAUUACUGACGCUGAGGAGCGAAAGCGUGGGGAGCGAACAGG